rnacentral:lncRNA from 1 species
GAUGAACCUUGAAGGCAUUAUGCCAAGUGAAAUAAACCAGUCAUAAAAAGACAAAUAUUGUAUGAUUCCACAUCUGUGAGGCACCUAGAGUUGUCAAAUUCAGAGAGACAGAACAUAGCAUGGUGGUUGCCAAGGGCUGGGGGAGAGGGAAAUUGAAACUGUACCCACUAAACAACCCACUGUUGUUUAGUGGGCACAGUUUUAAUUGGGGAAGAUGAAAAAGUUCUGGAAAUGGAUGGUGGUAAUGUUAGCACAACAGUGCGACUAGAUUUAAUGCUGCUGAACUGUGCACUUAACUGGUUAAGGUGGUAAAAUUUAUGUGAUAUAUUUUUACCACAAUAAAAAAAAAGACUUCUAAACAUAUUCGAAAUUGGCUCUCCUAAUAAAUUCUUUAAACAAUUUGCUUAGGGGGAAAAAAGGCAUUUACUUCAACAGUUCAUCAAUUUGAGCACCUGCUGUGUACCUUGCCCUUCGCUGGGCAUUGUAUGUAUGUAUGUGUUUUAUUUGAGGUAUAAUAGUUGAAGCAAUACAAUAAAGUCCACAGAUCUAAAGUGUUCAGUUCACUGAGUUUCGAUAACUGUAUAUACCUGUGUAGCCACCAUCCAAAACAAGAUGUAAAACGUUUUCGUCACCCCAGAAAUUUCCCACAUGCCGCCUCCAAGCAAUCCCCCUUCUUCUCCUGACCAUUUUCUGACAUCUGUCAUCAGAGAUGAGCUUUGCCUGCUGUGUGACUUUGUAUGAACCGAAGCAUGUGGUGUGUACUCUGGUGCCCUCUGGCUUCACUCAGCCUACCCCGGGCGCCACUUAUCCAUCUUGACACUUACCCCAGUAGUUCGUUCCUUAUUGCUAAGUAGCGUUCCGUGGUGUGUACCAGAGUUGGUGUGUCCACUCUCCUGUGGAUGGACAUUGAAUGUUGCAGUGUUUGGGGAAAGUUGGCAGCGAGUGAGGAAUGUUAGCUGGCCAACUGGGAGUGUCCCCACAGAUUGGCGUUGUAAUAUAAGCUCUCCGUGCAGGGGGGUUCCCUACGAGACUGGCAGCUUACCCGGAGUUGAACAGUCUCCAGGUCCUGGCAUUUGGGUGAUUUACACUAAAAGUAUGGCACCCGCUAGACCAGAUGCUCAUGUUGCUACUGGACAGAUUUCUCCCUUGAAGGUGCAUCACACAGGAACCUGAGUCUCUUAUCGGGAGGCUGCUUGGUGACUCUGCCCUGGGGACAGGAAGUUGGUGGAUGGUCUUAAAGGUCAGUGUCCUUGAGCAGUGACUGCACCUCCCCAGCUCAGGCGGCCACCUGCAGAACUGACUGGAUACCACGGGGUAGGGGUAGGGGGUAGGGACUAGGGUGACCACUCCCCAGCUCGGCCCCUUCCUCUCUGGUUUGCAGCCUUAGAGCUGGUUGACACGUUCUUUCUGCAGCCGAGUGAAUGCCUUUAGUCUGAGACUGUAGCACAAGAGCUAUUCUUGCAAGAGCUGUCCUUCCAGUGACCUUGCCCUCUCUGUUGUGACCCAUUCUCCAGUGAGUCUGCUGUCUGACUCUGAGAUCAGCGUCCCCCACUUCCACAUUUCUGGGCAGCAUCUCAGCUCCUGAAGUAGCAGUGAGGCCUUGUGCCCACGAGCCAUGGCCUUUGCUGCCAGGGAGGUCAGGCCUCAGCAUCCUAGCAGGGCCGCCUAGAAAUGGCGAAAUCCUAGGCAGUUUACCUCAUCUCUUGGAACAUAGCCACCUCAUAUAAUGACACUAAUAAUAGCUUUGCUGCCCUAUGUACUGCCCGUAACAGGACUGUAAGGUGGGGGGCGAGGUAAUUCUCGCCUUCCAGGAAUGCACACAAGGUACAUCUGCGUGAAAGCUGAGUUCACUUGUCUCCCCUGGGUCCACAUUCCUGGGCCAUGCAUCAUCGCAUGACUUGGAGAGUGCGGGGUGCUAACUGGAACUGUUGCCUCCAGUGGAGAGCUGUGGGAACACGGGCCGAUGAGGUUGUGGUGGUUGCUGGGAGGCCCCCUGGAGCAGGGCAGUGGGAGGACCUCCCAGGGCAGGUGUGGUGAUGGUCGCCCUCCCUCCAUUCGGGUGCCUCCCUUUGCACACCCCGGACCCCCGUCCCCAGUCCACCAGCUCACAAGCUCAAUACAGCUAACAAAUCUACUCUCCCCUGUGAGAGGUAAGCUGGGAAGGCCAGCUUGGGUUUGCACUGUGAUUUCUAAAGGAUGCAUUGCUCUGAAUUCACCUCUGAGAAGUGUUGGUGGCACAGCUGGGAGUCGUGUGAGCCCCACGACUGUGUGGUCGGCUCCCUGGCCAGAGCCCAUGGUGCUGAUGCUCCUGGGACAGGGGAGUGGGGCAUGGAGCCCAUCUCAGCAAGCCAGGACCUGAUGAGUCGUGCCCGCCCACCCGUGGGCACAGGGAACUGAGCCCCUGAUGUGGCUGGAGAGGAGGAAGGUGCACUGGGGACAGAGGGACUGUCAGCUGGCCGAGGAGCCACUCUGGCCAGGCUGAGGCCACACUUGGAUCCCCCCUCCCCUGUUACAUCUCUAGAAGGCUUAACCAUCUCUCUGCCCAGUUCAGACCCUGCCCAUCCUUCAUGGCUUCCUCUGGGAUGAGCCCGUGACCCAGGUUCUCCAGGUAAACGCUUCUUAGGGGUCCCCAGCUGACCGUGUGCUCCUGGAGGAUUGAUCACCUCACCUUGCGUUUAUAUUCCUUUGUUGAUUUUCCUCUAAGAGCCUAGGCCAGUGGUGGGCACAUGUCACAGUUUGAUCGAGUGAGCCCCAGAGCAGGGGAAUGCCAUCUAAGAUGUGCCAGUGAGAGGCAGAGCUGGGACCGGAACCCCAAAUCCUAGAACAUGGAAACAGCAUCCCGAGUGUGCAAGGAGGGGUGGGAGCGGCGAGUCUGGGUGAGGCAUCCUCUCCUGUGAAUCCUGUGCUGUUUCAAGCCGUUCUGGGUGAAAGAGUGCAAACGCCGGGGAAUUUUCUCUCUCUGCCUUGGUUAUUGUCACAUGCAAGCAGGGAUGAUUUCCUAAAAUGUGUGACUAGAUAAGGGAUUCCUUCACCAGGAUAUGAAAUGACUGUGCAUUCAAAUCUGAGCCACGAAAGAGGAUCUUUGCUCCAUUUUUCCUGCGCACCACACACGAAUCUUCCCAGGACACUAACCCGUGUGCUCAUCUGGAGGCCUCGAGGCUUGGGGUCACUGGUGAAAGUGCAGCCUGGAAUGGCUCCUGGGUGUUGCCCGUGCGCACCCCCCACUCUACUGUCUUCUCCCCCGACCCGGGUUUGUCCCAUCUGCCCAGUGAUGCACUGACACAGCCUGGUUUGUCUCAGGGGAAAAUCUGUCCUCAGAGUACAUGUUUGGGUACUGGGGUGGAGUUGGCAAAGAGGUGGCAUGAAGAGCAUUCCUUGCCUUUCUUCUGAUCAGGAGACUACAAGGAAAAAUACAAAACACUUCUUUGAGCAUUGAGAGCAAAAUUUUAGAGUGACUUUAUCAUGAGUUUGUUUAUCAUGAGAAUCAUUUUUUAAAAGGAAACUUGGUUAAUGAAAAGAAAUCAGGGACAUAUUAUAUAUAUAUACAAUGACGUCAAGUAUGU